rnacentral:misc_RNA from 1 species
CCGAGUUAGGGUUUGCUCUUCGGAGUGCCCGACCUCCCAACCCUUUGUCUAUGAUACCACAGUUGCUUCGGCGGACCGAGGGGUCAUACCCUCGCCUGGCUUAUGGCCGGGAGCGUGUCCGUCGAUGGCCCCUAUCUAAAUUUUUGAACCCAAAACCUGUCGUCUGAAAACUUUGAUAACUAAAUCAAAAACA